AUGACCCCAGGCCAUGUGAGAUCUUGUUGGGAGCACAAGAAGCACUCUUCCUGCUCUUUGUCACCCUUCCAUUAUAAGUCCCAUGUGGGUUUUCACUGUAUUCCAUAUCAGGGCUGUGGAACCCUUGACAUAAUCCUACCCUACCUUCCAGGCAGGCCUAAAAGUGAGUGUGUGUGGUGGUGGCAAUGUGCCUGUGUAUGUGUGCUGAUGUGUGUGUGUGGGGGUGUGUGGUGGUAUGUGUGUGGCGGUGGUGUGCUUGUGUGGUGGUAUGUGUGUGUGUGGCGGUGGUUUGUGUGGUGGUGUGUUUGUAUGGAGGGGUGUGUGGUGGUGUGUUUGUGUGGUGGUGUAUGUGGUGCUGUGUGUGUGUGGUGGUAUGUGUGUGGUGGUGUGUGUAUAUGUGUGGUGGUACGUGUGUGUGAUGGUGUGUGUGUAUGUGUGGUGGUAUGUGUGUGGUGGUGUGUGUGUAUGUAUGUGAGGUAUGUGUGUGUGGUGGUAUAUAUGUGUGUGGUGUAUGUAUGUGUGGUGGUGUGUGUAUGUGUGUGUGGUGGUGUGUGUGUGGUGGUAUGUGUGUGUGGUGCUGUGUGUGUGGUGGUGUGUGUAUAUGUGUGGUGGUAUGUGUGUGUGUGGUGGUGUGUGUGUAUGUGUGGUGGUAUGUGUGUGGUGGUGUGUGUGUGGUGGUGUGUGUGUAUGUAUGUGAGGUGGUAUGUGUGUGUGGUGGUAUAUGUGUGUGUGGUGUAUGUAUGUGUGGUGGUGUGUGUAUGUGUGUGUGGUGGUGGGUGUGUGUGUGGUGGUGUGUGUGCAUGUGUGGUGGUGUGUGUGUGUGGUGGUGUGUGUGAGAGAGAGAGUGAGAGAGAGAGAGAGAGAAAGGAUGCCCUAGGGCUUCCUCUCCCUGCAUACACUGGAAAAAGAGAAAAGGAUUUCAUAUCUGCAGUCUUUUUGUUUUGUUUUGGGACAGAAUCUGCCUCUGUUGCCCAGGCUGGAGUGCAAUGGCACAAACACAGCUCACUGCAGCCUCGACCUCACCGGCUCAAAUGA
rnacentral:lncRNA from 1 species